rnacentral:lncRNA from 10 species
CAGAGCUUAAAGCUCCUUCUAGACUGGCAGGAACCAGCUCUCACCUCCGACAGGGGUGAGGCCAGAGGCGUGGGAAAGCCAGAUGGGGUGGCGGAUGCCACGGUGCCAUGGCCUCCUUCAACCCUCAGGUGUGCAAGGAGGCAGGUGACCUGGGAUGUUCUGCAAAACAGGUCCUCACUACCCAAGGCGUGGUCCUCAGACAUCACCCGGGAGCUGGUUAUAAAUGGAGAGUCUCAGGCCCCGCCCUGGAGGCCCUGGUUCAGAACCUGCGUUUCAGCAAGAGCUCGAGUGAUUCAGGCAGGUCACUGCACUGCUAGAUUGCUGGUGAGACAGCAGCCACUGCUCCCAGGCCCGACAACAGGGGCA